UGGGACUUCUAGCCUCUAGGACUAUGCUGCUUGCCUGACAGAGGAAUGGAAUGACUUGCUGAAGGAGUAGCAGAAACACUGACUUGGAGGUGAUGACUUGCAAGAAAGGAGAGUCAUCCUCCAAGAUGUCAGGUGCAGUAUAAAUCAAUGAUCUUCAAAGGGUACCUUUCUGUAAUAGGAGAAGACAUUCAUCUGGGAAUUAAAGUGUGGAAGCAGGACUGUCUCCUAGCUAUUCGAUUAGAAAACUUUUCCUUCAUAUCCCCGUAAUUAUUGGCUCUGUGAGUUUAGAUAUCUUGGUUUCCAAAGGUAUAUGCUUUCACUAAGGAAUGCAGCAGGAAUCUCACUAAAUUAUAAGUCAUGAUUACUGCUUGUGAAUUUGGGGGAUCUUUGCAGCAAGGGGACAACAGACAACAAGAGGAAUCACCAUCCUAGAAUAGCAGCUGACCCUGAAGAUCAGAAGCUAGGGCUGUCAAGACACAAGGAUGAAUACGUCUGACAAGCAGGAGACCCACUUGAAUUGAAUGCUUCUCGGUGUUCCCUUGUCCAGUUUUGUUGGUGCUGAAGUAUUUAUCUCAGGCCACUCUUAGCUGCCAGUCCUCCUUGUGAAUUACCUAAAGCUAAGAUAAUUUUUUCAUCCAAGUUCACACUCCCUUGCUGGGGAAGCCCACAUCCAAUUACUGGUCAGUGUGGGAGUGUAAAAGCUGGUUCUUUCCCUUCAAUUUGGUACAAUGUGAGGGGCCAUCUUUGCUUCAGCUCCUCAUAUAAGUUGGCUGAGACUUUCGUGGAGAUGACGUUGUAGCCCAGUUUCUUUGUGUCCAAUCCUGCUGCUCUUUUUUCUAUCUACAGGUGUUCAUUUUAAGAACACUCCCUAAAACUUCAUGCUCACUAAUCCCCUUCUCAGACUCUGCUUGCCAAAGUACCUGACCAGCAACAUUCUUAGCACAGUGACUUGUACAGAGUAUGGUUAUUAAAAAGAACUAUUAAACUUUUAAUAAAAAACU
rnacentral:lncRNA from 1 species